GGGAAUGAAGUUUAGUGGUAGAGUGCUUGCCUAGCAUGCAUGAAGUCCUGGGUUCAAUUCCUUAGUCCCA
rnacentral:tRNA from 1 species